UACAGAGGGUGCGAGCGUUACUCGGAAUUACUGGGCGUAAAGCGCACGUAGGCGGCUUGGUAUGUCGGGGGUGAAAUCCUGGGGCUCAACCUCAGAAUUGCCUCCGAUACUGUCGGGCUCGAGUCCGGAAGAGGCGAGUGGAAUUCCUGGUGUAGCGGUGAAAUGCGUAGAGAUCAGCAGGAACACCCGUGGCGAAGGCGGCCCCCUGGGCCGAACCUGACGCUGAGGCGCGAAGGCUAGGGGAGCGAACGGG
rnacentral:rRNA from 1 species